ACACGCAUGACACACUGCAUAUCAAUAAGCGGAGGAAAAGAAACUAACAAGGAUUCCCCUAGUAACGGCGAGUGAAGCGGGAAGAGCUCAAAUUUGAAAUCUUAAAGGGUUUCCCUUUACGAAUUGUAGUUUAGAGAAGUGUUUUCUGUUGGAGUUUCGGUAAAAGUUCUUUGGAAUAGGACAUCAUAGAGGGUGAGAAUCCCGUAUUUGAUCCGUUACUUUCCAGCUGUGCGAUACACUUUCAAAGAGUCGGAUUGUUUGGGAAUGCAGUCCAAAAUGGGUGGUAAAUUUCAUCUAAAGCUAAAUAUUGGCGAGAGACCGAUAGCGAACAAGUACCGUGAGGGAAAGAUGAAAAGAACUUUGAAAAGAGAGUUAAACAGUACGUGAAAUUGUCAAAAGGGAAGCGUUUGACACCAGUGUUGUUUAGUUGAAAAUCAAUUCAAUAAUUUUUGAUUUUAAGUAGUAUUGACUUCAUCAGCUUGCUGCUUUCUUUUCGAAAAUUAUUGAAUGCACUUUUCAGUUAACAAGUCAACAUCAAUUUCUCUUGUUGUAAAAGGGUAAGAGGAAGGUGGCUUACGCUUCGGCGUAAGUGUUUAUAGCCUUUUACCUCUGCAAUCGGAGAGAUUGAGGACAGCAGCGUAGACUCUUCGGGGUUAGAUACACUUGUGCUAAGCUAUAGCCUUGUAUAGACAACUUGUUGACUAUGCUCAGUCAUGUAGCUUACUCGCUUGUGCUAUUUUACCUACGCUUAGGAUGUUGAACUACUGAGACAUAGA
rnacentral:rRNA from 1 species